rnacentral:rRNA from 1 species
UACAGAGGGUGCAAGCGUUAAUCGGAAUUACUGGGCGUAAAGCGCGCGUAGGCGGCUUGACAAGUCGAGUGUGAAAUCCCCGGGCUUAACCUGGGAGCUGCAUUCGAUACUGGAUGGCUUGAAUUCGGGAGAGGGAUGCAGAAUUCCAGGUGUAGCGGUGAAAUGCGUAGAUAUCUGGAGGAAUACCGGUGGCGAAGGCGGCAUCCUGGACCGACAUUGACGCUGAACGGCGAAAGCUAGGGGAGCAAACGGG